GACGAACGCUGGCGGCGUGCUUAACACAUGCCAGUCGAACGGAAAGGCCCUGCUUUUGUGGGGUGCUCGAGUGGCGAACGGGUGAGUAACACGUGAGUAACCUGCCCUUGACUUUGGGAUAACUUCAGGAAACUGGGGCUAAUACCGGAUAGGAGCUCUUGCUGCAUGGUGGGGGUUGGAAAGUUUCGGCGGUUGGGGAUGGACUCGCGGCUUAUCAGCUUGUUGGUGGGGUAGUGGCUUACCAAGGCUUUGACGGGUAGCCGGCCUGAGAGGGUGACCGGCCACAUUGGGACUGAGAUACGGCCCAGACUCCUACGGGAGGCAGCAGUGGGGAAUAUUGCACAAUGGGCGGAAGCCUGAUGCAGCAACGCCGCGUGCGGGAUGACGGCCUUCGGGUUGUAAACCGCUUUCGCCUGUGACGAAGCGUGAGUGACGGUAAUGGGUAAAGAAGCACCGGCUAACUACGUG
rnacentral:rRNA from 1 species